GUCAGAGAAUGAGAAUUUAAGGCUAAAACAUAAUAAGAAUUCGAAUCAAUUUCCAUAUGCAAGAGACUUACGGUGUUAAGACGAUACCGAUCUUGUGAAUUUUUCCCAAGUCUCCGCAAACUAAUCUCAAAUUAUUCUAUAGCCUAAAACUUUCAACAAAAAUGCAAUUUUUUUUAGAAAGAAAACAAAAACAAAACAAAACAAAGAAUAAAAACAAAGAAAAUAAAGUGUUCCCUCCCCCACACUUAAAAUAUGCAUUGUCCUCAAUGAAAAAAACAAACAUAAAAUAAGAGAAAGAAGAGAGAGGAAAGAACACACCCGAGUAGUCAAGGAGGAUAGGU
rnacentral:lncRNA from 1 species